rnacentral:misc_RNA from 1 species
UCCGGCUUGACGCCGGCAGUCCCCCGAGAGUCCUCAGCUUUACCUAUUAGCAACUAAUGGCAAGGGUUGCGCUCGUUGCGGGACUUAACCCAACACCUCACGGCACGAGCUGACGACAGCCAUGCAGCACCUGUGCUGGCUACCCUUGCGGGUUCAUUGCCGUUUCCGGUUCUUACCACCAGCAUGUCAAACCUGGGUAAGGUUCUUCGCGUUGCGUCGAAUUAAACCACAUGCACCACCGCUUGUGCGGGCCCCCGUCAAUUCCUUUGAGUUUCAGUCUUGCGACCGUACUCCCCAGGCGGAGUGCUUAAUGUGUUGACUUCGGCACAGCAGGGGUCGAUACCCGCUACACCAAGCACUCAUCGUUUACGGCGUGGACUAC